UAGUCAGCAUGUCUGGUAGCAUUUCUGGCUGCUGUUGACCUUGUUUUUGGAGUAAAACACGGUGGAAGCUGAAUUAGUGAGGAUGACUCCUGCUCCUGUCAUCUCUAAGCUCCUCACACAUCUUUACCUGCACAUGAGGAAAAUCACUCCUGUAGAAUGCAGUGGUUCAUCAGAACCUCUGGGGAUGUCCUGUGGAUUCUGUGGAUCCUGUGGGUUGCAGGGUGGGUCCUACCUAGACCAGGCUGAUCCUGGACCAUCCCACAGAUGCUCCAUCAGAUGUGGAUGUGGGGAGUGUGGAACCCAGAUGUUCAGAGGGAGAUGAUGCCACAUCUGGUCCAGCUGAUGGAAGGUCUUGAAGUUCUCUGACUGGCCUGGACUGAAGAUGGUCGUCUCACUGGAUUUAAGGUUCAGAUGCUCAGUAACAAACUCCACCAAUGAGCCAACAGGGAAGCUUUAGGUUUAUUAAAUGUUGCUAUGAAGGUUUCGCUGUUUUUCUUUGUGAAUGCAAUGAGCUCCAACUGAAAGUUGAAUUAGAACUUAGAAGUAAAUCCUUCCAUCUGAAAGGAUUUAGUUGCAUUAAUAACCUCAUAACAUUCUAAUUUUUAUUCCAGUCUUGGUUGGAAAUAGAAUCUCUGUAUUGAUUCAGGUAAAAACUGAACUUCACAGCAUGUUGGAGCAAAACAACCAGAUGAAAACUGUGAUGGUGUUGGAUUGUCAGACCGUAAUGUUGCAGCUCAAAGCAGCUUUUCUAUCGCAGUUCAUUCUGACAUUCAGCUAUGAAUCAACACAGCAGAUGGUGAUCCAUGCUGUGGAAGUCUCACAUCUCCUGAUUUAAUGGAGCUGCUUUGCACUUUUUACACUGUUUAUUCACCAACACUUUAUUUAAUAAAAGUCCCAUCUAGUUUUUAUGAGGAAUGUGAUGUUUUAAUUUCUCUGUGAAUAACUGCAGUCUAAUGCAACAGCUGGAGUUGUAACAUCUGUCCUGAUAUUGAUCAUGAAGUAUUGAUCAGAAUACUUAUGGUCAGCAGUCAUCCCUGAAGUUUUACAUUAAAAUCUUUACUUGUGUUGUGAACUUUGGUAAGAAGCAGAAACGUUAGCGUUGCCAUGGAUACAUGAGUGUUAAAUUCUGUCCAUGUUUCCAUUUUGGGAAAUUCAGUCCAGCAGAUGAGUUUGUUUUUAGUGCCGGCUACCAUUCAGUCUGAGAUAUUAAGAGUAAAUAAAUGUGCAUAAUGUGGAAAUGAACAGAUUUUAUUUUUAUUUUUUCCUACAGCUGCUGCAUGUAAAGUUCCAAAAUGUGGAGGAAUUUAGUCUCACAAUCACAGACAAUAUAUAUUAUCUGAAAAUCAAGUUAUUGUUGUUUAUCAGCACAAUACAGAAAGAUUCAUGUUAGAAAUAUUCCAGUUAAGACUCUAGAAUAUCAUGAUUUAUGUAAAUUUACCUCAAUAAUAUGAAUGUUCAGGUUAAGAUUGUACAGUGAUAUUUAUUAUGGAAGUUCAGCUGAUUAAAGUUUAUGAGUCUGCACUACAAUAUUAUUAUUUAAAUUUACAUCAUUAUUAUAAUAUUUAGGGUCAGACCCUACAGUAUUGAGAUUAAGAAAUCAAAUAUUCUGUAAAAUGUAAAUACACUGAACUCAUUUGGAUAUAUUUUAGUGAGACUCUACAAUAUUAUUUGACACAAAUCUAUCUAAAUCAAAAUUGUAAUCAUUUUUACUCCAAACAUUUACUGGACUGAUUUAAAUAUUAAAAUCACUCCUUUCUAAUCCUCUGCUGUCUGUUCAAACCUGAGGCCUUAAAUAGAAACACACAAGUAUCUGAUUGAAGGAACUUCUGCAGAGUCCUGGUUCCAGAACAUGAUGAUAGAAUUAUAGACAAACUUGAACAAAAGCUGCCUGAAAGUUUACAGGUUUUUAUGUUAGAUUUCUUCAGUAAUUUAAUGAGAGUUUUCAGCAAAAAUCAAGUGUUCAUUUGAUGAACUUCAUUUCCUAAAACAUCCAGAAUUGGAGCUCAUAUCUUUGGCAGCUGUAAAGUUUCUGCUCCUUCAAAGCUCACAACACAAUGAAUGAAUUCCUUAAACACUCUCAAUGCUGGAGAGCGUUUGUGAUGCUGAAGCAGUGACCAGUUUUUCUGUUUCUUCUCUGGAGAUGCACAAUGAGGGACGUCUGCAGCGACUGAGAAAGAGUCUCACCACAUCCUGACAUGAGGAAAAAGACUUUAUUGAAGACUACAAUGAGAAAAACUAUCAGACAGCAGACGGCUGCAUUCAAGGUGAGCUCUGAACAUUUGAUCUGGAACAGGAAUUCAAUAACGGCAGCAUGAGCUUCAUUUCAGUCUGUAGCUGCUGAAUUCAUGGAUGAAUCAUCUGG